UACAGAGGUCCCAAGCGUUGUUCGGAUUCACUGGGCGUAAAGGGUGCGUAGGCGGUUGGGUAAGUCCGACGUGAAAUCUCCGAGCCUAACUCGGAAACUGCAUCGGAUACUAUUCAACUCGAGGGAUGGAGGGGAGACUGGAAUUCUCGGUGUAGCAGUGAAAUGCGUAGAUAUCGAGAGGAACACCAGUGGCGAAGGCGAGUCUCUGGACAUCUCCUGACGCUGAGGCACGAAAGCCAGGGGAGCAAACGGG
rnacentral:rRNA from 1 species